UACGUAGGGUGCGAGCGUUAAUCGGAAUUACUGGGCGUAAAGCGUGCGCAGGCGGUUUUGUAAGCCAGGUGUGAAAUCCCCGGGCUUAACCUGGGAAUGGCAUUUGGGACUGCAAGGCUGGAGUGCGGCAGAGGAGACUGGAAUUCCUGGUGUAGCAGUGAAAUGCGUAGAUAUCAGGAGGAAUACCGAUGGCGAAGGCAGGUCUCUGGGCUGACACUGACGCUGAUGCACGAAAGCGUGGGGAGCAAACAGG
rnacentral:rRNA from 1 species